rnacentral:lncRNA from 12 species
AUGGCCCUUGGCUUUUUUUCCUUCCAUACCUGUACAUUGUCAGCUCCCUGCUGGCUGUUCUUCUGGUUUCCUCUUCAUUCCCACAUAAACUUCCUAGCCCUGUCUCCAUUAUGUGGCCUCUUGUUUUAUAUCUUUCACCUUCAGCAACUAGCCAGAAACACUUCCAAUGUUAAUUCUCUGGUUUUCUUUCUUUCCUUUCUUUCUUUCUUUCUUUCUUUCUUUCUUUCUUUCUUUCUUUCUUUCCCUUUCUUUCUUUUACUUCUUACAUUUUGCUCCCCAAACUCUGCCUUUUGCUUCCAUCUUCUCUUCAGAUCCUAAAAGGAUCUUCUCAAAGGAGUCUUGACUAGGUAAAAGUUUGGCUAUUUUGGAGAAAGUCCUUAACACCAUCCCUACCUCAGAACAGCAACAGGCUUCACCUGGAUGGAGUCUACAAUGUUCUGUACAGCCAAAACAUAACAUCAAAGCAUGAUUCAGGAACAGGGGUGGCUAAGUGUCCAGAACAGCACAGCACCAGCAUGGCCUGGUUUGAUGCAUGUGAAGACCCAGACAUCUUAAGGAAGUAGACUUGUUAUAAGUUAUUCAAAAAUAUCUUCUUAUAUAUUGUUUCUUCAAACCUGUUCUUUACAGGAUUAGAUAGUAAAGGCUUCUAGGUUUCAGUAUCUUACUGCCACCCAAAAUGAAGAUGGCAGUAUUGACAAUGAUGGCAAAGACAUAAACGUUUUGACAAUAGCCAGGAUAAUGUCCUUUUAAUUAAGAAAGUUUGGAAAUGUAACGAAGACAAUCUCUAUGGGGUCUGCUCCUGAAUAUUCCUUAGGCAUUUCAAACCCAACCCAUCCAAAUCUCAUCCAUCAUCUCUUCCAUGAUUUUUAACAUACUUCUCUGGUCUCAAGACAUGGACCACUUUCAACACAUGUAUUGAGAAGAGAUUAAUACCUGAAGUGUAUAAAGAACUCCUGUAACUCAAAAAUAGAAAGAAAACUAACCAAAUGGAAUGGGCAAAGGACUUGGGAAGACAUUUCUCUUAGGAGAAAAUCUACAAAAGCUGUCACCCUGGAAUGGUUCUCCCACAGCGGGCUCUGCCAACAACUAGUUCUAGAAAGGCCUUGAAGGUAUAAGGCAAGGAAUUUGAGCUUUGUCCAAAACCCACUGAAUGAUUUUAAGCAAGAACUGAUACACUCGGCUUUUAAUUUUAGGAAAAUCACUCUAAACAUGGUGGUCAAAUGUGUUUGGAAAGCCUGAACCAAUCCUUUGGGAAUAUUUCCUGCUGGGUUCCCCACAAUGAUUGAGUACAGGUGGAGUUCUAUCUAAGAGAUGGUGG